rnacentral:rRNA from 1 species
UACGUAGGGUGCAAGCGUUAAUCGGAAUUACUGGGCGUAAAGAGUGCGCAGGUGGUCAUGCAAGACAGAUGUGAAAUCCCCGGGCUUAACCUGGGAACUGCAUUUGUGACUGCACGGCUAGAGUGCGGCAGAGGGGGAUGGAAUUCCGCGUGUAGCAGUGAAAUGCGUAGAUAUGCGGAGGAACACCGAUGGCGAAGGCAAUCCCCUGGGCCUGCACUGACGCUCAUGCACGAAAGCGUGGGGAGCAAACAGG